rnacentral:rRNA from 1 species
GAUUGAACGCUGGCGGCAGGCCUAACACAUGCAAGUCGAGCGGUAACAGGGGAGCUUGCUCCCGCUGACGAGCGGCGGACGGGUGAGUAAUGCCUAGGAAUCUGCCUGGUAGUGGGGGAUAACUCGGGGAAACUCGAGCUAAUACCGCAUACGUCCUACGGGAGAAAGUGGGGGAUCUUCGGACCUCACGCUAUCAGAUGAGCCUAGGUCGGAUUAGCUWGUUGGUGAGGUAAAGGCUCACCAAGGCYGCGAUCCGUAACUGGUCUGAGAGGAUGAUCAGUCACACUGGAACUGAGACACGGUCCAGACUCCUACGGGAGGCAGCAGUGGGGAAUAUUGGACAAUGGGCGAAAGCCUGAUCCAGCCAUGCCGCGUGUGUGAAGAAGGUCUUCGGAUUGUAAAGCACUUUAAGUUGGGAGGAAGGGUUGUAACCUAAUACGUUGCAGCUUUGACGUUACCGACAGAAUAAGCACCGGCUAACUUCGU